rnacentral:rRNA from 1 species
AUGGGUGUCUCAGGUGCUGUGCAAUGGUGGGAGGAGUGGCAGCUGCGUAUCCUCGUCCUUGCUAGCCUGGGGAUUCAGUACAUCCUUCUGGUUGCUUCGACCGCACGUAAGUUCCCUAUCAGAUCCUGGUUUAGACCUGUCAUCUGGCUCGCAUACCUUGGCAGUGAUGCCAUUGCAAUCUAUGGGCUUGCCACCCUCUUCAACCGCCAGAAGAAGCAGGAUGGACACGGUGUUCUGGAGGUGUUGUGGGCUCCUAUUCUCCUGAUACACCUCGGUGGACAGGAUGGCAUAACCGCCUACAACAUCCAAGACAACGAGUUGUGGACGCAGCACAUCCUCACCGCGCUGUCUCAGGUCACCGUGGCCAUCUACGUCUUCUGCAAAUCAUUUCCAAGCAGUGAUAGGAGGCUGCUCCAGGCAGCAAUAUUGCUCUUCAUCCCUGGUAUCCUUAAAUGCUUCGAGAAGCCCUGGGCUCUCAAUAGAGCUAGCAUUAAUAGCCUUGUCAGCUCCGGUGAGCCUAUUCGGGGGCCAACAGAUAUGCUGGUAGACCGCACUCCUUUUAACCUAUUUGUGGACCUUACAUCUCCUUGUACGGAUGAUCGGAUCAGGAUGCGACAGCUCUUCUUAGCAGUUGAUGAAAAGUAUGUCUAUCGUAUGCUGCACAGUUGGCUCUCUGAUACCUUCCAACUCCUCUACACCAAAGAAAAGAUGUUCUCCCGCAGCAAAAUAUUUCAAUCCUCACCUGGUUACAUUUGCAGUGCUCUUCUCCGUCAAUUAGCUAUGUACCUUCCAUAUGCAGCCAUAGCCCUCUUCCACCAGUCACAGAGAAGCUUACAGUGA